GGGGGGGGGACCAGACAGGCAAGGAGAGGAAGGUAUUGUAGAUACAGACACCAGCACCCUCCCAGGUGUGCUCUUCAUGGGGCUGUGGAAGUCAGACAGGAGGAGGUGAAGCUCUAAUAGGCCUCCCAUGUGCUCCAACACACGCCUGCAACUUUCCUCUGCCUUCUCGCCUGCCUCGGUAUCCUGGAGACAGCUCAGCAGGGAUCUGAUAUCCCCCAACAUGCCUCUCCUCAUCGGCUCCUCCAUCUCCUCCACCCGUCUCCAGCUGUAGGAGAGUCUACCUGACAAAUCCCUGAUCCCACCUGAGCCCAGCUGGCCCCGGCCUCCAAAACGACACAAAACGGCACGCAAAGCGGUGAAUGAAGCAAAACACAAAAUGACAAAUAUGAGACGAGAAACACAAGCGAGGCAAAAAGGAAACACAAAACGACAAAAACAUGGGACAAAUGACAAAAGUCAGACAAAAAUUAGACAAAAAAAUGACAAAAAUGAGACAAAAUUUUACAGAAAAUGAGACACAAAACAUCAAAAGGACACUGAUUUGUGAUCAAAACAACAAAAAGGACAAAAAACAACAAAAAGAAGACAAAAUAUUACAAAUAGGAAACACAAAACGACAAAAGCCAAAAAGAAAACGACAAAAACAUGAGACAAACAAGAAAAGUCAGACAAAAAAAGACAAAAACAACAAAAAAUACGCUAAAUAUAACAAAAAUGAGACAAAACGACAAAAGAACAAUGAUUUAUGAUCAAAAUAACGAAUAAGACCAAAAACAAGACAAAAUUUUUUAAAAAAUGAGACACAAAACAACAAACGUGACAAACAAAGCGCCGCACAAAAUGACAAGCCACCCAAGAGAGACAAAAAGGAAACACAAAACGAGAAACAAAAAGACAAAAACAUGAGACAAACAACAAAAGUCAGUAAAAACAAAGAGAAAAAGCAACAAAAAUGAUGACACAAAACGACAAAAGAUCAAUAAACAAUCUAGUAUUUUACUUUAUGAUCCAAACAACUUGUCAUGGUCUAGAAAUGAUUUUAAAUUUAUAGUUUUACUAAUUUACAAUCUACAGUUAAUGUCUUCUCUGUAAUUUUUCCACUUUGAGGGCCGGAUUGGACCCUCUGGAGGACCACUUUUGGACCACGGGCCUCAUGUUGGACACCCCUGCUGCAGAGGACUGGAUGUUUAGCUGCAGAUGCCUCAGACAACUUCCAGUUAUUAGAGACCGGCUGUGCUCUGGCUGACAUGUUCCAUCAGUUCGCCCGUCUCCAUGGAGCUCCAGAGGUGAUGCUCAGAGUCCAAACAGAGCGCCUCUAAUGGCCCAGAGGACUGUACUGUACUGAAAGCCAACACCUGCCUCCCGUACAGACACCGGAUAAUCCCGUCUAAAUGGAAGGACUACAAAAGCCCUCACCAUAGAAACCACAUUUAAAACAUCAAAAUCAGGUCCCUGAUGUGCUGCUAAAACAGCUCAGAUACAUGGAACAUCAGGAUGCUGGCAGGAGAUCCCCUGUGUCCUACAGCUCCUAUUUAGGGGCCUACUGGGAAAUCUGGAUGCUGGAUCAACACCUUCGUCUCUUUGCUUGUUUCUCCAGCAAUUACUGAGCAGUUUUUGCAGCGUGGCAGAGCUCAUUCUCCUACUGGGAGAGGUUUCUUCUGCUAUAAACAUCGUGGACCACAGUCACCAACAUGAUUCUACAGAAAAGAGAUGAUUUGGUUAAUAAGCUCUGAGUGCAUAACCGCCUCCUAACUGUUGGAUGAAGCUGGGAGACGGUUAUGUACAUCUCACUGCUGAUUAUCUCACUAAAACUGGUUUUAUGGGUUUAACCUCAGCCGAUCAUCGAUGUUUAAAACAACUGAAUCCUUCCAGACACUGUAGUUUUAUUUUAUUUUAACAAAUAAAACCAUCAGAUUUUAUGUUAAAAGUUAAAUCACUAAAAUGAUUUGUAAACGUAGAACUUCCUGUUGGAUGCUAAAGUUUUGCUUCUUGAAACUAAGCUGAUUUUAAUCUAAAACCGUCGGGAGGAAAUAAACCAGCAUAUUUCAGCUGAUGUGAUGAGAAAUAGGAGCCAGUUCAAUUCUGUUUUAUUUCACUGUUUUCAUCAUCAAAAAUCAGUUAUAAUCAAUCCAAGUGUUCCAAGUCCCUCCUAACUCAUCUGAAAAGACAAAAUGUUGUGUGGUCGGACUCAAAGCUUGUCUGGAGUGAAUUUGUCCUACUACUCUAAUCUUUCCUCAACACAAUACUGUUUUCAUUGUGGGAUUGUCUGUGUUCAUGUUUACAUCCAUCAUUUGGGGGAUUAAAGCAAACCACAGACAUUAAGUAGCUUUAGUUAUCAGUUAUUAAGCUACAGACUAAAUAUGGUGUAACUGUUUGCUCUACUUACCUUUCUCUGUUCUGACUCUCCAUGCAGGAACUAAUGUUUGGAAGCACUUCCUGAAUAAGUGACAUCUCUGGGCCGAACCAAGUGGAGGGUGUUUUUUCUUUUUUAGAUGGAUGUUUCUUUUGGAUUAAAAGGCGUCAUUCAGCAGCGACUGCAAAUGUUUACCUCUAAGGAAGACAUUUAUGAAUGCCCACGAGUUUGUAGUGCAUCCAGUGAUGUUGUUUUCAGUUUUGUUUGCAUGAAGGUGAUAGAAUAGUUCCCCUUGGUGUGUGACGGUUGGGCUGGAGUGAUGAAGGUGUGAAUGAGCUCCAUAUAAAAGGAGCAGAGAGGCAUUUUAUUGAGUAGCUUCAGGUUAGUUUUGAAAUUACUUUUCUAUGUAAGUUAUUUUUUUGGUUUUGUUUUGUCACUUUAAAUCUCACAUGAAUGCAGAAGCACUGCAAAUGAAAAUCUUCACCUCUUUUACACACAAGAAGUCUGCCGACAAACCAAAACUCCUUUUACCCCUUCAGCAUGAAGUUUAGACGUGAUAUGCCUUAUAUCUGGGUUGUUUUUCUCCAGAGUCGUCUUUAAACCACCUUUUGUGCUAAUUUUUUGGCAACGAUAUAGUAGUAAAUCAUUUUCAUUUUGCUGCAAAAACUCCCUGACAUUUCUGGGCUCUAUUUUCAGUUCAAUUCAAUUCAAUUUUAUCUAUAUAGCUAGCCUAGCAACGCUAGACCCAGGUCUGAAGAUGCAAAGGUCUAGGAACGUUCGACAGGGAGGGAGGCGGGCUAAAAGGUUGUCUUUCAAAUCACUCUGCAGCAAUUGGGUAGGUAUACAACCAAUCAGCGCAACGAAUAGGCUGACGUAGUUCCUAGAGCGCCGGAUUGUGGCUAAGUCCCAUUAGCUUCCCAACCAGCGGAGCCAACUGGUAUAUUAAGGAUUUGCCAUAUCCCGUCGGCAUAAGUUCAAAUACGUCUUUCUUCUCAAUGAAACACUUCAGUGCCGUCCUUUGUUUAUCUUUCAAGUUGAAUUUUAGCUUCAAAUCUUUAAGGGCUGUGGCCAAAGCAGAGUCGAACGAUAACUGUUUAUUAUGCGCCGGUUGUUUCUGUCAGAAUCGUCCCGCCUCUGUCGUCACUUAGUUACGCCCGCCUUCUGACUCUACACUUCAUGGUGAUUGGUCUGACCGGUUUUAGGAGAAUCCAGCCUCGAGGCUUAGAGAGGGUAACUAGACCCACCCUGGCAGAGAAUUAAAUUUGUUGCCGUGGGUUGUCUAGCGUGGCUAGGCUAGUAUAUAGUGCCAAUUACAGGUCAAAUUUUCUCAAGACGCUUUACAGAACCCAUAUGCAAGCCUUAAGACGACAGUGGCAAGAAAAAUUUAGUUUUUGAAAACUGAACACAAAUUGUGAACACUAAAGUCUGAUUAUUGCUGUAUCGCAUAAAUCUGUUACUACAGAAUGAUGACAAAGAGGAUAUGAACAGAAAAACAGUUUUCUUGCUCUGGAAGAACUAUAUUAUUUAGAUUUCUCAUGUCGUUUUUAAAAACUGCUGAGUCUGAGCUACUAAAUCUGCUCUACAGGGAAAAAAACACAACUUUUAUUCAAUAAUGUGGUUUAUUUAGAAUAAACUCGGCAGCACCAGUAGGACAGCAACAUUCACACUUCAUCACUUUAUUUCGUUUCACACCUUCAGCUUAUCACUGACCAGCUUAUUGUCCUGUUAUUGGUAGAGGCAGCAUUUAAACGGAGCACCAUUUGAGUUUAGAACAGAGAUGAUUUAACCUGAACAGUUCGCUGAAGCAUAAAGAUCAGUUUCUAUAAAUCUGUACUGUGCAAAGUUUCUUUCUGUUAGCGUGUCUGUACUGCAUCAGGGACGAUCACUGAACGUUAUUUUGUUCACCAGAACCUAAUUUUGACUCCAGAUGAAACAAAAAACACAUGACAACUAUGAAUGAUUAUAUUUAACUGGUUUGUAGUAUGACUUCCAUAAUUAAAGGCAUCACUUCAGAAAA